AUGCGGAGAGGAGGAAGAAGACUGGCCGCGGCCGCACCUCGCGAGCACGAGGACGGAGCUGCCGCCAAGGUGGGACGGGCCGACAGGGACCGUCGUGCUCAUCGACAAGCCCAAAGGUGGACCUCAUUUACUGUUUGUGGAAAACUACGGCGGUUGGUGAAAGUGCAAAAGGUUGGCCAUGCUGGUACUCUGGAUCCUAUGGCCACUGGAUUGUUGAUUGUUUGCGUGGGCAAAGCAACCAAAGUUGUUGAUAGAUAUCAAGGCAUGGUUAAAGGCUAUAGUGGUGUUUUCCGGCUUGGGGAAGCAACAUCAACCUAG
rnacentral:rRNA from 1 species